ensembl:lncRNA
UGCACUUGUUCCUGGGGGAGUGUUGCAUGGCUACUUACCUGUUCUUAAAGAUUUGAAGGAGGACCUUUCUAGAGCCCUGCACUUCUUUGAGGCACUAAUUAAACUGCUUGAGAGUUACAACCAAGGAAAACCAACAAAGGCUGUGCUGAGUGGUGUUACCCAAUCAGAUGACGCUACCACAGAAGGAAGCCAAACGUCAUAUGCAGUGCCCAUGAUGACCCAUCCACCAUCGAAAGCACCUACAAUGGGCGUGCGAGCAUCGGAACUGGACCUUGGAGCAGUGGAAGACGGACACCUGGUCCGAUCAAUCAUGUUUUCUUUUACAUCACGUGGAUGGCUGUGUCUGUGUGCGUCGUUUAUCUGGGGAAGUGAUGGCACCAGGAUGCACUGUGGGAAGAUUACAAGCCGGUGGAGGGAGUGUGAUGCUCUGGGCAAUGUUCUGCUGGGAAACCCUGGGUCUGGGCAUUCAUCUGGACAUUAAUUUGACAUUGCCCACUUACCUACACAUUGUUGCAGACCAGGAACACCCCUUCAUGGCAAUGGUAUUCCCUGAUGGCAGUGGCCUUAUUCAGCAGGAUAAUGAACCCUGCCACACUGCACAUAUUGUUCAUGAAUGGUUUGAAGAACAUGAUGAAGAGUUCAUGGUGUUGCCCUGGCCUCCAAAUUCCCUUGAUCUCAAUCAGAUUGAGCAUCUGUGGGAUGUGCUGGACAAAUAAGUCUGUUCCACGGUGGCUCCACCUCGCAAGUUACAGGACUUGAAUGAUCUGCUGCUAAUGUCUUGGUGCCAGAUACCACAGGACACCUUCAGUGUCUGGUCCUCAGCGUUCGACCAAAACAGCACCGACGCGCGGAGGACCAACUGCAUAUUAGACAUGUGGCCAUAAUGUUUUGGCUCAUCGGCCUAUGUCAAAUGUUUUUGUAUUAUUCAUUUUACUGUGUUUACAAUGAAGAUUAACAUUUUGGCAUUUCAAAAGAUAUGUUGAGAAGGUACAAUUGCUGCCUUUUUCCAUACAUGGGAAUGGCCUGUCCAAAGGAGAAGGGGAGUAGAGGGGGAAUUACAUUGUCAUUGGGGAGUAGAGGUGUGGAAAAUGAAACAAAACCAGACUCUUAGGAUUUACUAUGUGUUAAAAGGUUUUUUGACUAAUCUGAUAUAUAAAUUAUUUGUAAAUAGUUAGAUUUUUAUUUGAGGCUGGCCUUGCAAAGUUCCUGCAAACAUUAAAACCAAUUUCAAUUGCUACUUUUGUCCAUAUAUGAACAUCCAGGCCAAGAAAGAAGAGGAUGGAAACAAAUCUUUUAAAUAUUUAAAACCAUUAUUCAGUGGGCGGUUUUGAAAUAGUGGUGGAAAUGAAUCAAAAAAGGAGAUAACAGCUAAGAUUCUAAUGAUCUAUCCAGUGCCCUUUUAAUUUUCAUAAACGUAAAGCAUUGUUUUUACUUUUUGCUCUACAUUCUAAAAGUUUGGAUUUUAAGUCAAAGGAAAAAGAUCUGGUCAGAGGUAAGGCAAGGAUUCAUGGUCCAGACCUCAGGCUGAGGUGAAGAGUCAUCUAUCAGCACAAAAACAAUCUGAAGCACACAAGACAAAGACAAAGUUGGAUUGGCUUCAGGAUAAGUCUGUGAAUGUUGUUGUGGCCCAGCCAAAGCCUGGACUUCAGCUCCAUUGAAAAUCUGUGGGGAGACUAAGAUUGCAGUUUCCCAAUGCUCCACAUCCAAUUUGACAGAGCUUGAGGAUCUACAAUUUCAAAUGUGAGAAACUGGCCAAAUUUCAGCUGUGAAAAGCUGGUAGAGACCUAUCCAAGCAGACUCACAGCUGUGAUUUCUGCCAAAGGCACUUCUACAAAGUACUGAAUAAAAGGUCUGAAUACUUAUGUACAUGAGAUAUUUUGGGUUUUAUUUUCAGUCAACUGGGGAAAAGUUCUAAACCUGUUUUUGCAUUGUUAUUAUAGGGUACUGAUUGUCAUGAAGAGUAAGUCCUUUUUCAAGUACUUACAGCAUAGAGAUUGAUGGGAAUAAAAAUGCUGUCAAUUAAAAAAAUACGUUUAUAACCCAAAUAAAGCAGAUAGUUGAAAGGGUCUGACUUUCUGAAGGCACUGCUAUUUCUGCUAUUUCACUGCUAUUGUGCAAUUGUUAACGUGUAAAAUAAAAUACAUUUUCCAAUGUUGGC